rnacentral:rRNA from 1 species
UGCUCGAGUGGCGAACGUGUGAGUAACACGUGAGUAACCUGCCCUUGACUUUGGGAUAACUUCAGGAAACUGGGGCUAAUACCGGAUAGGAGCUCCUGCUGCAUGGUGGGGGUUGGAAAGUUUCGGCGGUUGGGGAUGGACUCGCGGCUUAUCAGCUUGUUGGUGGGGUAGUGGCUUACCAAGGCUUUGACGGGUAGCCGGCCUGAGAGGGUGACCGGCCACAUUGGGACUGAGAUACGGCCCAG